GGCAAGGUUUACGUGCACAUGCACUUGUUUUGGGGAUUGUCAGCCCACCAUCUGUUGAAGUGGUGGACACUGGGAUUGGGUUUAACUUUCUCCCAUGAGUCAAGAAUUUUUGCAAUGCAAAAGUCUUUUCUUUCUUCGAUUUAAUCUGCCAUAUAGAGCUUAUACUAAACAUAAAAGUUGAAUGGCUUCAGUCAGCUUGGUAGAGCAAAGGAAAUGCACACUCUAUAAAAUUGAAACAAAAACAAAAAAAGGUCAACUUUCCUUUGAAAGAUUUAUUGAAACAAAAAC
rnacentral:lncRNA from 1 species